CCAUGCCUACAACAUAGUGUUAAUGCAUCAGAUCCCAUUAUAACUCUAUAGUUAAGCGUGCUAGGGAUAAAGUAGUACUGGGAUGGGUGAUGGCCCGAGAAGUCCUAUUUUUUUACAUGUC
rnacentral:rRNA from 1 species